AUCCCUGUAACGCAAUAGAUAGCGCAUUGGACUUCUAAUCCAAAGGUCGUGGGUCGAAUUCCACCUGGGAUG
rnacentral:tRNA from 1 species